AGAGUUUGAUCAUGGCUCAGGAUGAACGCUGGCGGCGUGCCUAACACAUGCAAGUCGAGCGGAGAUAAUUAAAGCUUGCUUUAAUUAUCUUAGCGGCGGACGGGUGAGUAACGCGUGGAUAAUCUGCCUUGUACAGAAGGAUAACAUCAAGAAAUUGGUGCUAAUACUUCAUAAGCUUACGUUGUCGCAUGACAGAGUAAGAAAAGAUUUAUCGGUACAAGAGGAGUCCGCGGCUGAUUAGCUAGUUGGUAAGGUAAGAGCUUACCAAGGCGACGAUCCGUAGCUGGUCUGAGAGGAUGACCAGCCACACUGGGACUGAGACACGGCCCAGACUCCUACGGGAGGCAGCAGUGGGGAAUAUUGGACAAUGGGCGCAAGCCUGAUCCAGCCAUGCCGCGUGGGUGAAGAAGGCCUUAGGGUUGUAAACCCCUUUCAGCGGGGAAGAUAAUGACGGUACCCGCAGAAGA
rnacentral:rRNA from 1 species